CCGGGACUCAUGGGAGACUGCCGGGGUCAACUCGGAGGAAGGUGGGAUGACGUCAAAUCAUCAUGCCCCUUAUGUCUUGGGCUUCACGCAUGCUACAAUGGCCGGUACAAAGGGCUGCGAUACCGCGAGGUGGAGCGAAUCCCAGAAAGCCGGUCUCAGUUCGGAUUGGGUCUGCAACUCGACCCCAUGAAGUCGGAGUCGCUAGUAAUCGCAGAUCAGCAACGCUGCGGUGAAUACGUUCCCGGGCCUU
rnacentral:rRNA from 1 species